AGAGAAAAAGAUGAUGAUGAAGAAUCUUCUCUAUUUUUCCUUUAAAAUAUCAUCAUUAUUAUUACUAUAAAAUAUAAUAAUAGUAAUAUCAGUAAUAAUAAAAUAUAAAAUAAAAUAUUAUAACUUAUUCAUAAAAAUCUUUGUAAUAGGCCCAUUUCGCCCGGGCCCACACAAAAACCAAAAAAACAAAAUAAAUAAAAUCAAAUGUUUUAAUAGUCCCAGUCCAUUUACAUUUAUAGCCCAAUAAACCCCAAAGAGCCUGAGUUAAUUUAAAACCUAAAUAAGUCCAUAUCAAUUAGCCUAAGUACAAAAGCCCAAAAAUAACAGCCCAAAUUUAAACCUUUGGCCCAAGUAAAAUUAACCCAAAAAGGCCCGAUGUCUAAACUCUUUCAGAAACCCUAAGGGUUUCUGAAGUUUCCUCGCUCCGCAAUAGCCUCCAAGCUCCAGCAGCUUGACUCCGGGAUAAGCUCACAGGGCCCAAGCAGGUUGAAGCUUCUGGAAGCCUCUACUACAGUUCCCACGAACAGCCCCACUGCGUCAGCAACACCAUGACCUUCCUCCUGCAACAGAUUAACAAACGAAAACAGCAAACAAGCCAUGGGCAGCAAAUAACAGCAAAUUACAAGAAGGAAAUUUGUAUUUAUUUUAUUUUAUUUUUCAGCUAUAAAGACCGAAUGAAACGAUGUAAAUGGGAUCUUUUUUCACAGAAAUACACACGCAUAUUGAAAGAAAGAAAAAUCAAUUCGAAAUCAAUUUUUAAGGGGAUUUUAGAUCGUUUUCUUCUUUGAUUUUUGUUUUUAUUUCCUCAAUCCGUAUACACGGAUAUUAAAAAAAGACAAAGGAUCCUAGAUCAUUUUUUUAGAAGAAAUCGACAUAGCAAAUACAGAGGAAAAAGAAAGAUCUCUUACCUAUCGAUCUGCGCAGAUCUAGUCGGUGGUUGUUUCACCGGUCCAAAGGUAGAUGGAUCUUGAGGAUUCGACUUAAACCAUGACGGAGUAGGUGUGUUUGGUGCCACCGUCGCACGUAGAUCGAUCGAAGGGAAAGAGGGCAGUAAGAGGAUUGAGGGAAAAUUUUUCUUAAAAAAACUCCUUUUGUUUUAAGGAAAUAAUCGGCUAAAUGAAUGCAUUAGGGCAAAAGAUUUUAGUUUAUAUAUGUUUAA
rnacentral:lncRNA from 1 species